rnacentral:rRNA from 1 species
CCCGGUGGUGAUGCCGGAGGGGCCACACCCGUUCCCAUUCCGAACACGGCAGUAAAGCCCUCCAGGGCCGAUGGUACUGCGCUGGCAACGGCGUGGGAGAGUAGGUUGCCGCCGGGA